rnacentral:rRNA from 1 species
UACAGGUGGUGCAAGCGUUGUUCGGAAUUAUUGGGCGUAAAGCGCGUGUAGGCGUACCACUAAGUCUGGUGUGAAAUCCCUCGGCUUCACAUCUUCCGUGCAUUGCAUACUGGUGGCCUUGAGUCCUGGAGAGGGUAGCGGAAUUCCCAGUGUAGAGGUGAAAUUCGUAGAUAUUGGGAGGAACACCGGUGGCGAAGGCGGCUACCUGGACAGUGACUGACGCUGAGACGCGAAAGCAUGGGUAGCAAACAGGAUUAGAUACCCUGGUAGUCCAUGCCGUAAACGAUGGGUGCUAGUUGGUGCGGGUAUUGACCCCUGCGCUGACGAAGCUAACGCGUUAAGCACCCCGCCUGGGGAGUACGGCCGCAAGGCUA